rnacentral:rRNA from 1 species
AUUGAACGCUGGCGGCAGGCCUAACACAUGCAAGUCGAGCGGAUGAAGGGAGCUUGCUCCUGGAUUCAGCGGCGGACGGGUGAGUAAUGCCUAGGAAUCUGCCUGGUAGUGGGGGAUAACGUCCGGAAACGGGCGCUAAUACCGCAUACGUCCUGAGGGAGAAAGUGGGGGAUCUUCGGACCUCACGCUAUCAGAUGAGCCUAGGUCGGAUUAGCUAGUUGGUGGGGUAACGGCCUACCAAGGCGACGAUCCGUAACUGGUCUGAGAGGAUGAUCAGUCACACUGGAACUGAGACACGGUCCAGACUCCUACGGGAGGCAGCAGUGGGGAAUAUUGGACAAUGGGCGAAAGCCUGAUCCAGCCAUGCCGCGUGUGUGAAGAAGGUCUUCGGAUUGUAAAGCACUUUAAGUUGGGAGGAAGGGCAGUAAGUUAAUACCUUGCAGUUUUGACGUUACCAACAGAAUAAGCACCGGCUAACUUCGUG